UACGUAGGGAGCAAGCGUUGUCCGGAAUCAUUGGGCGUAAAGCGCGCGUAGGCGGCCCUGUAAGUCCGUUGUGAAAGUCAAAGGCUCAACCUUUGAAAGCCGAUGGAUACUGCAGGGCUAGAGUCCGGAAGAGGCGAGUGGAAUUCCUGGUGUAGCGGUGAAAUGCGCAGAUAUCAGGAAGAACACCUAUGGCGAAGGCAGCUCUCUGGGACGGUACUGACGCUGAGACGCGAAAGCGUGGGGAGCAAACAGG
rnacentral:rRNA from 1 species